rnacentral:misc_RNA from 1 species
AAAAUAGUUUCAAUUCAAUUUAAAGAUUAUAUAUCAACUUUCAAAAUAUUAUUUUUUAAUAUUAAUUUAAUUUUUAAAUCAAAUUAGAUCGAGUUGGACUAAAUCUAAAUACAAAAAUUUUGGAUUAUCUCCUAAUUUUAAAAAUUAAAAUUAUUUUUAAAUUGAAUACAGCUUUAAGCUAAUUAUAUAUCGAUGAAAAAUAAUUAUUUCUCAUUUAAUGAAUACUUAUUUUCGCAUAAAUAGCUAUUGUACAGGGGAUUGAGAAAGUAAUUUGAAAAAUUGUGAUUGAACAAUUACACAUAAUGGUAAAACAAUAAUUUAUUAAAAAUAUUUUCAGUUAAUAAAUUAUUUUAUAUAUUUUAAUUCAGUAUAAUUAAUAAAAUAUUAUUAGUAUAAUUUAUUUAAAAUUUUAAAAUAUUUUUUAAUGAGUUAAAUUUUAAUUAAUGAAAGAUAGAAUAAGUAGACAAACACUCAAAACUCUUUGGCUAAUUAUUAUUGGGGCUUGCUUUUAAAAUAUUAUUAGAUUAUUCUAUUGAAAUUACUAAUAUAUUAUUUUUCUUCAAAAUAUAUAUUAUCUAUUUUAGCCUAUGUUUCUUUUGUUCAAAUAAAUAAAUUUAUCUUUUCUA